rfam:Triticum aestivum genome assembly, contig: Triticum_aestivum_CS42_TGACv1_scaffold_131972_2BL
GACGUACUCCCUCCGUCCUAAAAAGCUUGUCCCACAAAUGGAUGUAUCUAGCACUACUAAAAAGCUUGUCCCGCAAAUGGAUGUAUCUAGCACUAACUCGGUGCUAGAUACAUCUAUUUGAGGGACAAGCUUUUUCGGACGGAGGCAGUAUGAA